rnacentral:rRNA from 1 species
UUAAAUGAAUUGACGGGACCGCACAAGCGGUGGAUGAUGUGGUUUAAUUCGAUGCAACGCGAAAACCUUACCACCUUUGACAUGUACGGAAUCCUUUAGAGAUAGAGGAGUGCUCGAAAGAGAACCGUAACACAGGUGCUGCAUGGCUGUCGUCAGCUCGUGUCGUGAGAUGUUGGGUUAAGUCCCGCAACGAGCGCAACCCUUGUCAUUAGUUGCUACAUUCAGUUGGGCACUCUAAUGAGACUGCCGGUGACAAACCGGAGGAAGGUGGGGAUGACGUCAAGUCCUCAUGGCCCUUAUAGGUGGGGCUACACACGUCAUACAAUGGAUGGUACAAAGGGUCGCCAACCCGCGAGGGGGAGCCAAUCCCAUAAAGCCAUUCGUAGUCCGGAUCGCAGUCUGCAACUCGACUGCGUGAAGUCGGAAUCGCUAGUAAUCGUGGAUCAGAAUGUCACGGUGAAUACGUUCCCGGGUCUU